GGGAGCUUGCUCCUUGAUUCAGCGGCGGACGGGUGAGUAAUGCCUAGGAAUCUGCCUGGUAGUGGGGGACAACGUUUCGAAAGGAACGCUAAUACCGCAUACGUCCUACGGGAGAAAGCAGGGGACCUUCGGGCCUUGCGCUAUCAGAUGAGCCUAGGUCGGAUUAGCUAGUUGGUGGGGUAAUGGCUCACCAAGGCGACGAUCCGUAACUGGUCUGAGAGGAUGAUCAGUCACACUGGAACUGAGACACGGUCCAGACUCCUACGGGAGGCAGCAGUGGGGAAUAUUGGACAAUGGGCGAAAGCCUGAUCCAGCCAUGCCGCGUGUGUGAAGAAGGUCUUCGGAUUGUAAAGCACUUUAAGUUGGGAGGAAGGGCAGUAAGCUAAUACCUUGCUGUUUUGACGUUACCGACAGAAUAAGCACCGGCUAACUCUGUGCCAGCAGCCGCGGUAAUACAGAGGGUGCAAGCGUUAAUCGGAAUUACUGGGCGUAAAGCGCGCGUAGGUGGUUUGUUAAGUUGGAUGUGAAAGCCCCGGGCUCAACCUGGGAACUGCAUCCAAAACUGGCAAGCUAGAGUACGGUAGAGGGUGGUGGAAUUUCCUGUGUAGCGGUGAAAUGCGUAGAUAUAGGAAGGAACACCAGUGGCGAAGGCGACCACCUGGACUGAUACUGACACUGAGGUGCGAAAGCGUGGGGAGCAAACAGGAUUAGAUACCCUGGUAGUCCACGCCGUAAACGAUGUCAACUAGCCGUUGGAAUCCUUGAGAUUUUAGUGGCGCAGCUAACGCAUUAAGUUGACCGCCUGGGGAGUACGGCCGCAAGGUUAAAACUCAAAUGAAUUGACGGGGCCCGCACAAGCGGUGGA
rnacentral:rRNA from 1 species